rnacentral:rRNA from 1 species
GCCUACGGGACGCAGCAGUGAGGAAUAUUGGUCAAUGGCCGGAAGGCUGAACCAGCCAAGUCGCGUGAGGGAAUAAGGCCCUAUGGGUCGUAAACCUCUUUUGUCAGGGAGCAAAGGCGUCCACGAGUGGACGAAAGGAGAGUACCUGAAGAAAAAGCAUCGGCUAACUCCGUGCCAGCAGCCGCGGUAAUACGGAGGAUGCGAGCGUUAUCCGGAUUUAUUGGGCGUAAAGGGUGCGUAGGCGGCCUGCUAAGUCUGGAGUGAAAGGUACCGGCUCAACCGGUACAGGCUCUGGAAACUGGCGG